rnacentral:rRNA from 1 species
CCUACGGGAGGCAGCAGUGAGGAAUAUUGGUCAAUGGGCGUAAGCCUGAACCAGCCAAGUCGCGUGCAGGAAGACGGCUCUAUGAGUUGUAAACUUCUUUUGUACGAGGGUAAACGCAGAUACGCGUAUCUGUCUGAAAGUAUCGUACGAAUAAGGAUCGGCUAACUCCGUGCCAGCAGCCGCGGUAAUACGGAGGAUUCGAGCGUUAUCCGGAUUUAUUGGGUUUAAAGGGUGCGUAGGCGGUAGGCUAAGUUAGAGGUGAAAUCCCGAGGCUCAACCUCGGAAUUGCCUCUGAUACUGCUAGGCUAGAGAGUAGUUGCGGUAGGCGGAAUGUAUGGUGUAGCGGUGAAAUGCUUAGAGAUCAUACAGAACACCGAUUGCGAAGGCAGCUUACCAAGCUACUUCUGACGUUGAGGCACGAAAGCGUGGGGAGCAAACAGGAUUAGAUACCCGAGUAGUC